rnacentral:snoRNA from 1 species
CUGUAAACCAUUAACUCCCCCCCACCCCACCCCCCAAAAUAGAGGAGGCUCAACAUUCACUACAUUAAGACUACGAUGUGUCCCCAGACCUAGUUCUGUUUCAUAAAUGCUGAUGAUAAGC